AACUGGUUGAGAGUUGAUGCUGCUUUCCUGAUGAGGCGAGAGCAGGCCAAAACCAGUU
rnacentral:hammerhead_ribozyme from 15 species